AGGAAAUAGAUACCCAGGUAGUCUCGGCCCUAAACGAUGUUCACUAGGUGUUGGGGGGUAACCCUCGGUGCCGCAGCUAAACGCAUUAAAGUGAACCGCCUGGGGACUACGGCCGCAAGGUUGAAACUCAAAGGAAUUGGCGGGGCCCGCACAAGCGGUGGAGCAUGUGGCUUAAUUCGAUGCAACGCGAAGAACCUUACCAGGGCUUGACAUGUAUCUGCAAGCUUCCGAAAAGAAGUCGCCUUCGAGGGUGAUACACAGGUGGUGCAUGGCUGUCGUCAGCUCGUGUUGUGAAAUGUUGGGUUAAGUCCCGCAACGAGCGCAACCCUCACGUUCUGUUACCAGCGAGUAAUGUCGGGAACUCGGAACGAACCGCCUCUGUAAGGAGGAGGAAGGUGGGGAUGACGUCAAGUCAUCAUGCCCCUUACGCCCUGGGCUGCACACAUGCUACAAUAGCCGGUACAAAGAGCUGCUAACUCGCGAGAGUACGCUAAUCUCAAAAAACCGGUCUCAGUUCGGAUUGGGGUCUGCAACUCGA
rnacentral:rRNA from 1 species